rnacentral:rRNA from 1 species
GACGAACGCUGGCGGCGUGCCUAAUACAUGCAAGUCGAGCGGACUUAAAAAGCUUGCUUUUUAAGUUAGCGGCGGACGGGUGAGUAACACGUGGGCAACCUGCCUGUAAGACUGGGAUAACUUCGGGAAACCGGAGCUAAUACCGGAUAAUCCUUUUCUACUCAUGUAGAAAAGCUGAAAGACGGUUUACGCUGUCACUUACAGAUGGGCCCGCGGCGCAUUAGCUAGUUGGUGAGGUAACGGCUCACCAAGGCGACGAUGCGUAGCCGACCUGAGAGGGUGAUCGGCCACACUGGGACUGAGACACGGCCCAGACUCCUACGGGAGGCAGCAGUAGGGAAUCUUCCGCAAUGGACGAAAGUCUGACGGAGCAACGCCGCGUGAGUGAUGAAGGUUUUCGGAUCGUAAAACUCUGUUGUUAGGGAAGAACAAGUACGAGAGUAACGGCUCGUACCUUGACGGUACCUAACCAGAAAGCCACGGCUAACUACGU